rnacentral:rRNA from 1 species
UCCACUGGCGGGUGCUAUACAUGCAGUCGAGCGGACAGAUGGGAGCUUGCUCCCUGAUGUUAGCGGCGGACGGGUGAGUAACACGUGGGUAACCUGCCUGUAAGACUGGGAUAACUCCGGGAAACCGGGGCUAAUACCGGAUGGUUGUCUGAACCGCAUGGUUCAGACAUAAAAGGUGGCUUCGGCUACCACUUACAGAUGGACCCGCGGCGCAUUAGCUAGUUGGUGAGGUAACGGCUCACCAAGGCGACGAUGCGUAGCCGACCUGAGAGGGUGAUCGGCCACACUGGGACUGAGACACGGCCCAGACUCCUACGGGAGGCAGCAGUAGGGAAUCUUCCGCAAUGGACGAAAGUCUGACGGAGCAACGCCGCGUGAGUGAUGAAGGUUUUCGGAUCGUAAAGCUCUGUUGUUAGGGAAGAACAAGUGCCGUUCAAAUAGGGCGGCACCUUGACGGUACCUAACCAGAAAGCCACGGCUAACUACGUGCCAGCAGCCGCGGUAAUACGUAGGUGGCAAGCGUUGUCCGGAAUUAUUGGGCGUAAAGGGCUCGCAGGCGGUUUCUUAAGUCUGAUGUGAAAGCCCCCGGCUCAACCGGGGAGGGUCAUUGGAAACUGGGGAACUUGAGUGCAGAAGAGGAGAGUGGAAUUCCACGUGUAGCGGUGAAAUGCGUAGAGAUGUGGAGGAACACCAGUGGCGAAGGCGACUCUCUGGUCUGUAACUGACGCUGAGGAGCGAAAGCGUGGGGAGCGAACAGGAUUAGAUACCCUGGUAGUCCACGCCGUAAACGAUGAGUGCUA